GAGACCCGGAUAAAGGGAUCGCGGCACCGGUUCGAGAACCCUCGCCGCCACAACAAUUGCAACACCAACCAAUUGAGCAGCUGCGUGGGACCUCGACGACGCCCACGGGCCAAUCACAGGCGAGUGCUCGCCCUCCGGUGCCCUCCGUCUCAAAUUUCAGUCAAAGUCGACACCCUGGUUCCCAGCCUUUCUCCCCGUCAGUUCCGUCUUGCUCUUCACUUUUCUCCCCGAAGCUCUGACCUGCAGGCGUCGGUACUGCGGACGGACAGCGUGGCCUGUCCCACGUACGACAGGAAAAACACCUCCCCUCCAGGAUUCCAACUUGAACGCUGUCAGCCGGAAUGACUGGAAAACAUCAACACUCCCGGGAGCAUAGCUGGCCCCUGUAGCGUCACUUCCGGUCCCACCCACCUACAAAUACCCUUCCGGGGGAGGCGGACACCGCUUCGCCCCGGCAACAGCCUGAGUUCUGCGGUGAUUGGUUAAGAGACGCCGUCACUCGCGGCAUACCGACCAACCUUGGGACAGACAGGCGCCGUGGGGACAGUGGUUGUUUGGGAAACAGACACGCCUUCUCUGGCACCACAGCACUCUCGGCCUCGCGUUGACCUCCCCGCCCCUAUGGCUAGUGCGCAGGCGCGGCCCAGCCUUUUUUUUUUUUUUUUUUUUUUUUUUUCCUAAUUGAGACAGGGGUCUCACUCUGUCGCCCAGGUUGGAAUGCAGUGGCGCGAUCAUAGCUCACUGCAAACUCCAACUCCCAGGUUCAAGCGAUCCUCCCGCCUCAGCCUCCCGAAUAGCUGGGACCACAGGCGCGCACCACUACGACCGGCUAAUUUUUUUUUCACUUUUUUGUAGGGACAAAGUCUCACUAUGUUGCCCAGGCUGAUCUCCAGCUCCCGGGCUCAAGCGAUCCUCCCGCCUCGGCUUCCCAGAGUGCUGGGAUUACAGGCGUUAGUCACCGCGCCUGGCCAAGCCCAGCCUUUUUCUAAAACUGAGUUUGCUUGGGUCGAUCGAGGUUUAUGAAAGCUCUGUCACCAGUCAGCGUCUCAAAAUGGGGUUGGCAGAAUCCCUGCUAUUGAGUAGCUGGAGAGCUACACGCUAAUCCUAGCUCUGCCCUUCCUGUCUGAGUGAUCUUUGUCAGUCAUUUAAAACCCACCCCGUCCUCAAUUUUUGUUGUUGUUGUUUACUUUUUUAUAGAACGCUUCACGUAUUUGCGUGUCAUCCUUUCGCAUAGUGCCAUGCUAAUCUCUGUAUCGUUCUAAUUUUAGUAUAUGUGGUGCGAAGUGAGCACCCAUCCUUAAUUUCUAUUCUAUAAAUUGGCAAUAAUUCUAAUCCGAGGAUCAGAGAUUAAUGCUUGUGAAGGGCCUGGUGCUGUGCCCAGCACAUAGGAAGUGUUCAAUAAAGUAGUCUGCAUGGUGGUGCAGUGGAAGGAUCCCAGGCUUUGGAGCCAGAAAGACCUCAGUUCCAGGCACAGAUGGACCAUUACCAACUGUAUGACCUUGAGCAAGUCAUUGUGUCACUUUUGAGAUUACCCAUGUGUAAAACAGGAAUGAUAAUACCUGCCCAGACUACCUCAGGGAAUGGUUAUGGGGUUCAGAUGAGCUGAUGAACCAAGAAGGUAUUUGGAGUUCACUUCCAGUCUUAGGAGACAAACCAUACAACAGGUUGACUGAAAGAGACCAUGGGAAAGCUGUUUUGAGUAUAGCCUUGCCUCCCUUGAGAUACUAACCCUAGUUGAAAUUCUUCCCUGAAAGGUGUAAGUAAUAAAUGGGCUCUAAG
rnacentral:lncRNA from 1 species